UGGAAGUAAAAGUCGUAACAAGGUUUCCGUAGGUGAACCUGCGGAAGGAUCAUUAACGAGUUAGGGUCUUCCAAGGCCCGACCUCCCAACCCUAUGUUUAUUGUACCUUGUGUUGCUUCGGCGGGACCGUCUCACGACCGCCGGAGGGCCGUAAAACGUCCUCUGGCCCGCGCCCGCCGAUGGCCCCCCACACACAAAAUUCUGAAUAAAUCAUGCCUAAUUGUCUGAGUAUAAUACACAAAAAUUAAAAGCAAAACUUUCAACAACGGAUCUCUUGGUUCUGGCAUCGAUGAAGAACGCAGCGAAAUGCGAUAAGUAAUGCGAAUUGCAGAAUUCCAGUGAGUCAUCGAAUCUUUGAACGCACAUUGCGCCCUUUGGUAUUCCGAAGGGCAUGCCUGUUCGAGCGUCAUUUUCACCCCUCAAGCCCCCCGGCUUGGUUUUGGACGGUCUGGUUUAGGCACCGCCUAGACCCCUCCUAAAGAUAAUGACGGCGGCCUCGUUGGACCCCCGGUACACUGAGCUUCUUAACUGAGCACGUAUCGGAUCAAGGGUGCGCGGGACACGGUCUUCAACCCCCUUUUUUUCUAAGGUUGACCUCGGAUCAGGCAGGAAUACCCGCUGAACUUAAGCAUAUCAAUAAGCGGAGGAA
rnacentral:misc_RNA from 1 species